UAGCUCACUAAGUAGAGCGCAUGCCUCCCAUGCAUGAGGCCCUGAGUUUGAACCCCAG
rnacentral:tRNA from 1 species